GCUUAACACAUGCAAGUCGAGGGGCAGCAUUUCCUUUUGCUUGCAAACUGAAGAUGGCGACCGGCGCACGGGUGAGUAACACGUAUCCAACCUGCCGAUAACUCCGGAAUAGCCUUUCGAAAGAAAGAUUAAUACCGGAUAGUAUACGAAUAUCGCAUGAUAUUUUUAUUAAAGAAUUUCGGUUAUCGAUGGGGAUGCGUUCCAUUAGUUUGUUGGCGGGGUAACGGCCCACCAAGACUACGAUGGAUAGGGGUUCUGAGAGGAAGGUCCCCCACAUUGGAACUGAGACACGGUCCAAACUCCUACGGGAGGCAGCAGUGAGGAAUAUUGGUCAAUGGGCGAGAGCCUGAACCAGCCAAGUAGCGUGAAGGAUGAAGGCUCUAUGGGUCGUAAACUUCUUUUAUAUGGGAAUAAAGUUUUCCACGUGUGGAAUUUUGUAUGUACCAUAUGAAUAAGGAUCGGCUAACUCCGUGCCAGCAGCCGCGGUAAUACGGAGGAUCCGAGCGUUAUCCGGAUUUAUUGGGUUUAAAGGGAGCGUAGGUGGAUUGUUAAGUCAGUUGUGAAAGUUUGCGGCUCAACCGUAAAAUUGCAGUUGAAACUGGCAGUCUUGAGUACAGUAGAGGUGGGCGGAAUUCGUGGUGUAGCGGUGAAAUGCUUAGAUAUCACGAAGAACUCCGAUUGCGAAGGCAGCUCACUAGACUGUCACUGACACUGAUGCUCGAAAGUGUGGGUAUCAAACAGGAUUAGAUACCCUGGUAGUCCACACAGUAAACGAUGAAUACUCGCUGUUUGCGAUAUACAGUAAGCGGCCAAGCGAAAGCAUUAAGUAUUCCACCUGGGGAGUACGCCGGCAACGGUGAAACUCAAAGGAAUUGACGGGGGCCCGCACAAGCGGAGGAACAUGUGGUUUAAUUCGAUGAUACGCGAGGAACCUUACCCGGGCUUAAAUUGCAACAGAAUAUAUUGGAAACAGUAUAGCCGUAAGGCUGUUGUGAAGGUGCUGCAUGGUUGUCGUCAGCUCGUGCCGUGAGGUGUCGGCUUAAGUGCCAUAACGAGCGCAACCCUUAUCUUUAGUUACUAACAGGUCAUGCUGAGGACUCUAGAGAGACUGCCGUCGUAAGAUGUGAGGAAGGUGGGGAUGACGUCAAAUCAGCACGGCCCUUACGUCCGGGGCUACACACGUGUUACAAUGGGGGGUACAGAAGGCGGCUACCUGGUGACAGGAUGCUAAUCCCAAAAACCUCUCUCAGUUCGGAUCGAAGUCUGCAACCCGACUUCGUGAAGCUGGAUUCGCUAGUAAUCGCGCAUCAGCCAUGGCGCGGUGAAUACGUUCCCGGGCCUUGUACACACCGCCCGUCAAGCCAUGAAAGCCGGGGGUACCUGAAGUACGUAACCGCAAGGAGCGUCCUAGGGUAAAACUGGUAAUUGGGGCUA
rnacentral:rRNA from 1 species